UACGUAGGGCGCAAGCGUUAUCCGGAAUUACUGGGCGUAAAGAGCUCGUAGGUGGUUUGUCGCGUUGUUCGUGAAAACUCACAGCUCAACUGUGGGCGUGCGGGCGAUACGGGCAGACUAGAGUACUGCAGGGGAGACUGGAAUUCCUGGUGUAGCGGUGGAAUGCGCAGAUAUCAGGAGGAACACCGGUGGCGAAGGCGGGUCUCUGGGCAGUAACUGACGCUGAGGAGCGAAAGCGUGGGGGAGCGAACAGG
rnacentral:rRNA from 1 species